UAUGAUAUGCGUGAUGUAAAAAUCGUCAUCGGAGGGUGUGCGCGGACAGUCCGCGUGCCUCUCAUUUUUUGUGACCGCGCGGAAAAGUACACGCGGUCAGUAGGCUACAAAAGCAUUAAUUGCGCAUGCGCAGGCUGUGUGAAGACGCGCUACCCGCACUUCUACAAUCCGUCGAUAAAACAAUAUAAAGACAGCCAGAUGUGCAAUAACUCUGGGCAAUUGUUUGUUCACAUGUUUGUUUACUGUUCAAGCCGAUGUAUGGAACACGUCCGCAGAGCGGACCACCAGCGCACGCUUUUGGUAGUAUAAAUACAAGUAGUCCGCGUCCGCGCUGUCCGUAUGCGAGUCCGGAUUGCACGCAUGGAAAGUAUAACACAGGCUUGAGAGUCCAUGUGGUGAGCGGGUGACCCCUGGUGGUGAGUGAAAGGAAGUUCAUAGACCCUAUUCGUGACAGCGCCACUCAGGAUAUAAACCAGUAUUUUCCUCAGAAGAGCUUCACUGCUUCUUGUGUCUUUGUCGUCACUUGGAAUUAUGGACCUCAGCAAAGCCCGUUAAUCCUGUUUCAAGUAGUUUUAAUUUCAGAUGGCAGUCUUUCUUUCUUUCUGAUGAAUUAUGGUGACUGCGCUGUGUUAUAUGGUCGAAUGGAGGCUGGAUUCGACACAAUAAACUCCACAUACCACUUUGUAAUUCCUGGUUCAAAUAAUGGCAACUACCAAAACCUCAAGAACACCAGCAACAAAGCAUCAUAGGAGUUCAAACGAGACUUAUGACAUUUUCAGACCUAACACAGAGUGGAAACGUUGAGGCUGUUUUGCAGAAGAUAGAACAAGAGCUUUUCAGUCGUGGACUGUCAAGUAGCAUCGAGAUGAAGUUAAGGAAAGUUAAAAGAUACAGCCGUAACAUGAGCCUCAUCAAUGGAAGCGCAUUAAAGCAGAGACUGGUUCAUUAAGUCUCUGAUGAUGAAUAUCAUUGCCAUUUUCAAAAUGUAGAAGCUGAUAAAGAGAGGAAUGUCACUGCACAGGACAGGGAAACUUGUUUGAUGUCUCACUCCAACUGCUUUCUGUUGUUCACAUACAUAUAGUUAUCUACAUACAAACAUAACUGAGCACAUACAAUGAAAAAAAAACCUGAUUCGUCAGUCUUUUUCUUUGUCACAUCAUGCUUUGUGUUAUCAGAUGUUUUGAUCGCUUUGGGGGUUUACAACUCUUCAAACUUAAGAAAACUUAAAUCUAGAAGUUAAUUUACUAAAAUAUAAGCAGACAAAUACUCAACCAAGUUGUAAAAUAUGUGUUUUGCCUUUUAAAAUUUGACUGGUCUCAAGGCACACUUUAGCGAGUAAAAAAGAAGCUUGCUUCAUUUGGAUUGGGGAACACAGAAAUAUUUAAAUACUGACAUAUACAGUGUAUUUGAUAUUAAACUGUCACUGAGAGAAGAGCUUAUUUUAGUUUAUUGGUGGAGGGGAAAUGGCCUUUUUCUUUACUCACCACGAGAGGGAGACAGCAGCUUACCUUUGCUUUAAACAACUGUAUGUUUGUACCCUAUGUUUUCCCCCUGAAAUAUCAGUUUCAAAAUCAUUCUGAUGGUACACUGGCUUUUAAAAAGACAAAUGGCUUCUGCUUCUUUCCCUCUCUCUCCAGCCUGUUUUGUAACAGAUGAUAGGACUACAGAUGAACCUCUAAAUUAAAUCAGCAUCUGGAUCCAAAAUCACAACUUUUGUGUUACAUUACUUAUUGUGUAAUAAUCAGGUAACACUUUACAAUGCAGGUGCACAAAUAUGCAUUAGUCUAAUUCAUGCUUAACUAAUGCACAGAUAAUCAUGAGUUAAUGUAUAACUCAUGAAGAACCAAACCAUUUAUUAAUGAUUACUACAUCAGCAACUAAUGAACAUUCUAUAUGAUUCAUAGAUUAAGUAAUAACUAAAUUGUUAUUAGUUAAAUGUGUCAUAAUGUAUUAGUUCCCUAAUAACAUCAUAUAUCAACAAUUGAUGUCAAUUCCUAUGUUAAUUACCACAGUGGUCAAAGCUGUGUACUUCAACUUCCAGUUGUCUGCUUUAAUUAAUCAUUAGCUAAUUAAAAAUCGUGAUUGCGUUCCCCUCGGUAGAAAUCACAUUUUCUCCUUAGGGGGCCCCUUCCAUCGUCGGGCCCUUAGAAUUGCCCUAACCUUACAGAUAUUCGAAAGCCGCACUUAUGUUCCCACUCUUCAACUUCAUACUGCCUGCUGAACUUUCUUAACUGUAUAAGAUAUACAGUAUUUCUACCUCUUUUCCAAAGUGCACCAUCUUCUGCAUAUAUUGACCUCCAUUCCUUUUUCCACAUCGUUAAAUAUAUCAUUGAUCAUUAAAUUAAAUAGAAGGGGGCUACACUCACUUCCUUGUGGAGUUCCAUUUUCAACUGCAUAAACCGAAUAUGAUGUUCCCACUCUAACCUGAAUUGUACAGUCAAAUAAAAAGUCUAACACCCAGUUGUACAUUCUUCCUGCGAUACCCAUGUUUUUCAUUUUUAUUAGUAGUACUUCUUUCCAAAGCAUAUCAUAUGAUUUUUCCACAUUUAUGAAAACUCCUAUUACAGCCUCUUUAUUUAUCUGUGCUUAUCUCUGAUUCUAGACACAGUAGGCCUAUUGAGUCCAUUGUUGUUCUACCCUGUGUGAAAGGCCUUUGCUUUCUGUAUCUCAUAAUUGUAAGUCUAUUUAUAAUCAAUCUUUCCAUUAUCUUACACACAUUUGAGGUCAACACCAUCUUCUGCUGAGAAGCGGGAAUUGUAUAAUAACGUGCUCAUUGUGA